ensembl:lncRNA
CAGUCACCCACACUCUAGACACAGCCUCCUAUUGAGCUCACUUGAGUGGAGACACUCAAGAGAGCAGGAUGCUCUGCUGUUGUCUCCCGACUUGUCGAGGCUGUGGCUUCAGGAAAGCCAAGAAACAGAGCCUUUUCAGUUGCUACACACAUUGGCUUGGCCCUCACCUGCACCGCCUCUGGCCAUUUGGCAGGAGGAGCCCUCAGAGCUGCACGCAGGAGGUGGUGGAAGAGCUGGCGGAUGGCUUCGGGUACUCCAUCUCCCUGGACAGGGACCAGCUGCACCGCACCAUCAUCAAUAACCAGGGCUGCUCUGAGGUCCCAUCUACCCUCCAUCCCGGGCGAUGCCCUCAUCCCCUUUGGGACACAUGGAGGCAGCUUGGCCCAUUGCAUGCAGGAUGCUGGCGGACAGGACCACCUCCCAAAUGCUAUCUAUUUCCUGCUGGGAACCUGGCUGGGCCAAGGGCAGGAUUGCAGGGAGCCCCUGUGGUUUCCCUUUUGGACCCUGCAGCUGGCCACUCUGCACGUCAGCUUUGGUGGCUCCCACGUGGAGGGCCAUGCCUACGUUCUGCCAGGCCACCUGGAGCAUCUCUCAAGGCCAUUGAGGCCGAACGGAAAGAGCCAGGUCCAAAGCUCCUGCCACUUCCAGAGCCAGAGCCAGUGCCAGCCCCUGGGCUGGAGCCAGCUGCACCUCCAGUCUCACCACGUGUGGUAGAGCUGGAGCCAGCAGCCCCUGAGUCGGCCACUCCAGGACCAGAGCAAGGGCCACCAUUAGAGGCAGCCCCAGAGCCCAGCUGCCCCUGGGCCGUGACCACCGAGGACCAGCUGCGGGAGGAGAAGCUGAACAUCUUGGACUUCCCUCCCCAGCUGGUGGCAGAGCAGCUGACGAGGAUGGCUGCGGUGAGCAGAGGAGCUCGCGGGGCGGGUGGCCCCUGCCUUCCCGGUGCCGUGAGCCGCCCCACACCUGCCAUUCCCUGCUCGGGAUUCCGAUGAUCUGGGUCCAAAUCCCUGCUCCCUCCCUUAUCAACACUGUGACCUGGGCAGCUUUCUUUCUCCCCAAGCCUUCGCUGUCCCCUAGCGAACAGGGGACAGUAGAGACGGACACUCAGAGCACCUGCUGUACAGGGUGGCUGUGCCGAUGAAUGAGGUGGGAGAGAGCAGAAGGUGGGCAGAGUCUGGCCCUUUGGUGGGGGAUGGGCACUCACUGAAGUGCUGCCAGGUCCUUGGGUGGAUCCCCCAUCUGCGCAGGUGACCCUGACAGCCUCAGCACUUAUCAGGAAGGUGAUGUGUAUUGACUCCAGUGGAGACAGUCAAACAAAGCUGGGGGUUGUCCCUGCCUCAGGGGGAAUGUGCAUGGGAAUGGGGACUGGGAUGGGUGGAUGAUGGCCCUUCUGGUGGGCAUGUGUGGGCUGCCUUCUGGAGCUUGGAGGAAGUGAGACGGGGGCUGGGAGCAAAUGUCCCCUCCCUUCCCCACAGUACUGUGUCCGGGGUCAUCCUGGACUGGGUGCAUUCAGUGGACACAGACAAAACCCAGGGACUCCCACAAGCCUCAGGCCACAUGCUCUGUUUCCUGAGCUCCAGUUCUGAUCUCACCCUGCCUGGGCCUAUGGGGGACUGUGGACGCCGAGCUGGGGUGCGGCAGGACCGGG